rnacentral:rRNA from 1 species
GAUAUUCCGGAACCGGCGAAGAACCGCCCAUACCGAACCUAGUGAUGCUAAGCGCCUGAAGCGUUGGUGAAGUCUUCGGACGGACCUGACGUGGAGCGCGCGACCCUAGUUAGUAGUAGGUAAGCAAUGGAGAGACGCAGGAAGGUAGCCUCCGCGUGGCGAUGGUAGUCCACGUCCAAGGGUGUAGGGCGAGGUGUAGGCAAAUCCGCACCUCACAUAGCCUGAGACCUGAUAGUGACCGCAUCAGCGGGAAGCAGGGUGAUCCUAUGCUGCCAAGAAAAUCUUCUAGCGAGGUUCUAGCCGCCCGUACCCCAAACCGACUCAGGUGGUUAGGUAGAGAAUACCAAGGCGAUCGAGUGAAUCGUGGUUAAGGAAUCCGGCAAAAUACCCCCGUAACUUCGGGAGAAGGGGGGCCCGGAAGGUGAAGAAGACUUGCUCUUCUAGCCCGAACGGCCGCAGAGACCAGGGAGAAGCGACUGUUUACUAAAAACACAGGUCCGUGCCAAGUCGCAAGACGAUGUAUACGGACUGACGCCUGCCCGGUGCUGGAACGUUAAGGGGACCGGUUAGCCUCACGGCGAAGCUGAGAACUUAAGCGCCAGUAAACGGCGGUGGUAACUAUAACCAUCCUAAGGUAGCGAAAUUCCUUGUCGGGUAAGUUCCGACCUGCACGAAUGGCGUAACGACUUCUCCACUGUCUCAACCACGAACUCGGCGAAAUUGCACUACGAGUAAAGAUGCUCGUUACGCGCAGAAGGACGGAAAGACCCCGGGACCUUUACUACAGCUUGGUAUUGGUGUUCGGUACGGCUUGUGUAGGAUAGGUGGGAGACUGUGAAGCUGAUACGCCAGUAUCGGUGGAGUCAACGUUGAAAUACCACUCUGGUCGUUCUGGAUAUCUAACCUCGGUCCGUGAUCCGGAUCAGGGACAGUGCCUGGUGGGUAGUUUAACUGGGGCGGUUGCCUCCUAAAAGGUAACGGAGGCGCCCAAAGGUUCCCUCAGCCUGGUUGGCAAUCAGGUUUUGAGUGUAAGUGCACAAGGGAGCUUGACUGUGAGAGUGACAACUCGAACAGGGACGAAAGUCGGGACUAGUGAUCCGGCGGUGGCUUGUGGAAGCGCCGUCGCUCAACGGAUAAAAGGUACCCCGGGGAUAACAGGCUGAUCUUGCCCAAGAGUCCAUAUCGACGGCAUGGUUUGGCACCUCGAUGUCGGCUCGUCGCAUCCUGGGGCUGGAGUAGGUCCCAAGGGUUGGGCUGUUCGCCCAUUAAAGCGGUACGCGAGCUGUGUUUAGAACGUCGUGAGACAGUUCGGUCCCUAUCCUCUGCGCGCGCAGGAAACUUGAGAAGGGCUGUCCCUAGUACGAGAGGACCGGGAUGGAUGAACCUCUGGUGUGUCAGUUGUUCUGCCAAGAGCACCGCUGAUUAGCUACGUUCGGAAGUGAUAACCGCUGAAAGCAUCUAAGCGGGAAGCAUGCUUCAAGAUGAGGUUUCCAUGGGGUUUACCCCGAGAGGCUCCCAGCUAGACUACUGGGUUGAUAGGCCGGAUGUGGAAGUGCGGUAACGCAUGGAGCUGACCGGUACUAAUAAGCCGAUAAC